rnacentral:rRNA from 1 species
CCUACGGGAGGCUGCAGUCGAGAAUCAUUCACAAUGGGGGAAACCCUGAUGGUGCGACGCCGCGUGGGGGAAUGAAGGUCUUCGGAUUGUAAACCCCUGUCAUGUGGGAGCAAAUUAAAAAGAUAGUACCACAAGAGGAAGAGACGGCUAACUCUGUGCCAGCAGCCGCGGUAAUCCAGAGGUCUCAAGCGUUGUUCGGAAUCACUGGGCGUAAAGCGUGCGUAGGCUGUUUCGUAAGUCGUGUGUGAAAGGCGCGGGCUCAACCCGCGGACGGAACAUGAUACUGCGAGACUAGAGUAAUGGAGGGGGAACCGGAAUUCUCGGUGUAGCAGUGAAAUGCGUAGAUAUCGAGAGGAACACUCGUGGCGAAGGCGGGUUCCUGGACAUUAACUGACGCUGAGGCACGAAGGCCAGGGGAGCGAAAGGGAUUAGAUACCCCUGUAGUC